rnacentral:rRNA from 1 species
AUUGAACGCUGGCGGCAUGCUUUACACAUGCAAGUCGAACGGUAACAGGCCGCAAGGUGCUGACGAGUGGCGAACGGGUGAGUAAUGCAUCGGAACGUGCCCAGUCGUGGGGGAUAACGCAGCGAAAGCUGUGCUAAUACCGCAUACGAUCUAUGGAUGAAAGCGGGGGACCGUAAGGCCUCGCGCGAUUGGAGCGGCCGAUGUCAGAUUAGGUAGUUGGUGGGGUAAAGGCUCACCAAGCCAACGAUCUGUAACUGGUCUGAGAGGACGACCAGCCGAACUGGGACUUGGAGCCGGCCCAACCGCCUACGGGGGGCAGGAGGGGGGAAUUUUGGGCAAUGGGCGCAAGCCUGAUCCAGCAAUGCCGCGUGCAGGAAGAAGGCCUUCGGGUUGUAAACUGCUUUUGUACGGAACGAAAAGGUUUGGGUUAAUACCCUGGGCCGAUGACGGUACCGUAAGAAUAAGCACCGGCUAACUACGUGCCAGCCGCCGCAGUAA